CACGUAGGGUGCGAGCGUUGUCCGGAAUUAUUGGGCGUAAAGGGUGCGUAGGUGGCGCGGUAAGUCGGGUGUGAAAUUUCGGAGCUUAACUCCGAAACUGCAUUCGAUACUGCCGUGCUUGAGGACUGGAGAGGAGACUGGAAUUUACGGUGUAGCAGUGAAAUGCGUAGAGAUCGUAAGGAAGACCAGUGGCGAAGGCGGGUCUCUGGA
rnacentral:rRNA from 1 species